rnacentral:rRNA from 1 species
UUAAGCGACUAAGCGUACACGGUGGAUGCCCUGGCAGUCAGAGGCGAUGAAGGACGUGCUAAUCUGCGAAAAGCGCCGGCGAGGUGAUAUGAACCUUUGACCCGGCGAUGUCCGAAUGGGGAAACCCAGUGCAAUCCGUUGCACUAUCGUUAACUGAAUACAUAGGUUAACGAGGCGAACCGGGGGAACUGAAACAUCUAAGUACCCCGAGGAAAAGAAAUCAACCGAGAUUCCCCCAGUAGCGGCGAGCGAACGGGGAGCAGCCCGGAGUCUGAAUCAGCUUGUGUGUUAGUGGAACGGUCUGGAAAGUCCGACGGUACAGGGUGAUAGUCCCGUACACGAAAGCACACAUGCUGUGAACUCGAAGAGUAGGGCGGGACACGUGGUAUCCUGUCUGAAUAUGGGGGGACCAUCCUCCAAGGCUAAAUACUCCUGACUGACCGAUAGUGAACCAGUACCGUGAGGGAAAGGCGAAAAGAACCCCGGCGAGGGGAGUGAAAAAGAACCUGAAACCGUGUACGUACAAGCAGUGGGAGCCUCUUUAUGGGGUGACUGCGUACCUUUUGUAUAAUGGGUCAGCGACUUAUAUUCUGUAGCAAGGUUAACCGUAUAGGGGAGCCGAAGGGAAACCGAGUCUUAACUGGGCGUUAAGUUGCAGGGUAUAGACCCGAAACCCGGUGAUCUAGCCAUGGGCAGGUUGAAGGUUGGGUAACACUAACUGGAGGACCGAACCGACUAAUGUUGAAAAAUUAGCGGAUGACCUGUGGCUGGGGGUGAAAGGCCAAUCAAACCGGGAGAUAGCUGGUUCUCCCCGAAAGCUAUUUAGGUAGCGCCUCGUGAACUCAUCUUCGGGGGUAGAGCACUGUUUCGGCUAGGGGGCCAUCCCGGCUUACCAACCCGAUGCAAACUACGAAUACCGAAGAAUGUUAUCACGGGAGACACACGGCGGGUGCUAACGUCCGUCGUGAAGAGGGAAACAACCCAGACCGCCAGCUAAGGUCCCAAAGUCAUGGUUAAGUGGGAAACGAUGUGGGAAGGCACAGACAGCCAGGAUGUUGGCUUAGAAGCAGCCAUCAUUUAAAGAAAGCGUAAUAGCUCACUGGUCGAGUCGGCCUGCGCGGAAGAUGUAACGGGGCUAAACCAUGCACCGAAGCUGCGGCAGCGACACUAUGUGUUGUUGGGUAGGGGAGCGUUCUGUAAGCCGUUGAAGGUGUCCUGUGAGGGGUGCUGGAGGUAUCAGAAGUGCGAAUGCUGACAUAAGUAACGAUAAAGCGGGUGAAAAGCCCGCUCGCCGGAAGACCAAGGGUUCCUGUCCAACGUUAAUCGGGGCAGGGUGAGUCGACCCCUAAGGCGAGGCCGAAAGGCGUAGUCGAUGGGAAACAGGUUAAUAUUCCUGUACUUGGUGUUACUGCGAAGGGGGGACGGAGAAGGCUAUGUCAGCCGGGCGACGGUUGUCCCGGUUUAAGCAUGUAGGCGGAGGUUCCAGGUAAAUCCGGUACCUUAUUAACGCUGAGGUGUGAUGACGAGGCACUACGGUGCUGAAGUGAUAAAUGCCCUGCUUCCAGGAAAAGCCUCUAAGCAUCAGGUAACACGAAAUCGUACCCCAAACCGACACAGGUGGUCAGGUAGAGAAUACCAAGGCGCUUGAGAGAACUCGGGUGAAGGAACUAGGCAAAAUGGUGCCGUAACUUCGGGAGAAGGCACGCUGAUAUGUAGGUGAAGUCCCUGCGGACGGAGCUGAAAUCAGUCGAAGAUACCAGCUGGCUGCAACUGUUUAUUAAAAACACAGCACUGUGCAAACACGAAAGUGGACGUAUACGGUGUGACGCCUGCCCGGUGCCGGAAGGUUAAUUGAUGGGGUUAGCGGCAACGCGAAGCUCUUGAUCGAAGCCCCGGUAAACGGCGGCCGUAACUAUAACGGUCCUAAGGUAGCGAAAUUCCUUGUCGGGUAAGUUCCGACCUGCACGAAUGGCGUAAUGAUGGCCAGGCUGUCUCCACCCGAGACUCAGUGAAAUUGAACUCGCUGUGAAGAUGCAGUGUACCCGCGGCAAGACGGAAAGACCCCGUGAACCUUUACUAUAGCUUGACACUGAACACUGGUCCUUGAUGUGUAGGAUAGGUGGGAGGCUUUGAAGCGUGGACGCCAGUCUGCGUGGAGCCAACCUUGAAAUACCACCCUUUAAUGGCUGGUGUUCUAACGUAGACCCGUAAUCCGGGUUGCGGACAGUGUCUGGUGGGUAGUUUGACUGGGGCGGUCUCCUCCCAAAGAGUAACGGAGGAGCACGAAGGUUGGCUAAUCCUGGUCGGACAUCAGGAGGUUAGUGCAAUGGCAUAAGCCAGCUUGACUGCGAGCGUGACGGCGCGAGCAGGUGCGAAAGCAGGUCAUAGUGAUCCGGUGGUUCUGAAUGGAAGGGCCAUCGCUCAACGGAUAAAAGGUACUCCGGGGAUAACAGGCUGAUACCGCCCAAGAGUUCAUAUCGACGGCGGUGUUUGGCACCUCGAUGUCGGCUCAUCACAUCCUGGGGCUGAAGUAGGUCCCAAGGGUAUGGCUGUUCGCCAUUUAAAGUGGUACGCGAGCUGGGUUUAGAACGUCGUGAGACAGUUCGGUCCCUAUCUGCCGUGGGCGCUGGAGAAUUGAGGGGGGCUGCUCCUAGUACGAGAGGACCGGAGUGGACGCAUCACUGGUGUUCGGGUUGUCAUGCCAAUGGCACUGCCCGGUAGCUAAAUGCGGAAAAGAUAAGUGCUGAAAGCAUCUAAGCACGAAACUUGCCCCGAGAUGAGUUCUCCCUGAGACUUUAAGUCUCCUGAAGGAACGUUGAAGACGACGACGUUGAUAGGUCGGGUGUGUAAGCGCAGCGAUGCGUUGAGCUAACCGAUACUAAUGAACCGUGAGGCUUAACCUU